AACUUAUGAUGUAUUAGAAAAGCUGGUCGGAAAGUUUCCACAUGUACAGCCUACAACUUAUGGAAAUUAUCCACUCUUGUAUGCCAAGGAUGAUCCAACUGAUCUUGGUUUCAG